UGAGGAAUAUUGGUCAAUGGGCGCAAGCCUGAACCAGCCAUGCCGCGUGCAGGAUGACAGCCCUACGGGUUGUAAACUGCUUUUAUACGGGAGCAAACCCUUCCCUGCGGGGAAGGUUGAGAGUACCGUAGGAAUAAGGAUCGGCUAACUCCGUGCCAGCAGCCGCGGUAAUACGGAGGAUCCGAGCGUUAUCCGGAUUUAUUGGGUUUAAAGGGUGCGCAGGCGGCCCGGUAAGUCAGCGGUGAAAAGGUGCAGCUCAACUGUACCCGUGCCGUUGAUACUGUCGGGCUUGAAUGUGGGUGAAGCUGGCGGAAUGUGCAGUGUAGCGGUGAAAUGCAUAGAUAUUGCACAGAAGGCCGAUUGCGAAGGCAGCUGGCUAACCCAUAAUUGACGCUCAUGC
rnacentral:rRNA from 1 species